UGGGGAAUAUUGCACAAUGGGCGCAAGCCUGAUGCAGCCAUGCCGCGUGUGUGAAGAAGGCCUUCGGGUUGUAAAGCACUUUCAGCGAGGAGGAAGGUGGUGAACUUAAUACGUUCAUCAAUUGACGUUACUCGCAGAAGAAGCACCGGCUAACUCCGUGCCAGCAGCCGCGGUAAUACGGAGGGUGCAAGCGUUAAUCGGAAUUACUGGGCGUAAAGCGCACGCAGGCGGUUUGUUAAGUCAGAUGUGAAAUCCCCGGGCUCAACCUGGGAACUGCAUUUGAAACUGGCAAGCUAGAGUCUCGUAGAGGGGGGUAGAAUUCCAGGUGUAGCGGUGAAAUGCGUAGAGAUCUGGAGGAAUACCGGUGGCGAAGGCGGCCCCCUGGACGAAGACUGACGCUCAGGUGCGAAAGCGUGGGGCAGCAAACAGGAUUAGAUACCCUGGUAGUCCACGCUGUAAACGAUGUCGAUUUGGAGGUUGUGCCCCUUGAGGCGUGGCUUCCGGAGCUAAUGCGUAAAUCGACGCCUGGGGAGUACGGCCGCAAGGUUAAAAACUCAAAGAAUUG
rnacentral:rRNA from 1 species